ACAGGGUAUUAUCCACACAGAAAAAGGUUGGCUUCCAUCUUUGAUAUAGACACAUAGCAAAAAAAGGGGGGGGGGGGAGAGCUUACUGGAACUCUCCAUUUUUAGAACCACAAGAACACACACCUGCUCAAUAUUUUCCAAGAUUCACACACAGAAAAACAGAGACCAACAUCGGCCUCUCCAUUUUUGAAUACACACAUCACACAGAAAAAGGAGAAUGACAUGAGAGAUAGAGAUCGAGAGAAAAAAAUUAACAUAGUUUGAGCGAGAGAAAGGGAUCAACACAGUUUGAAUGAGAGAGAGAGAGAGAGAGAGAGAUCUAGUUGGAGAAAAAUAAAAAUAAGGGAGAGGAGCGAAAUAGCAGCUUGUUCAUGCUACUGUUCCGACAACCAUUCGUCGUAGGAAAAUGGCACAUCCUCACUGGAUUCAACACUGUUUUGGGCUCGAAAUUGAUUGGGAAUUUGGAUUCAGAAACUGGGUUUUCAAUUCGAGUUGGAUUUCAGGUUUCCUUGCGGUUUCAAAUUGUUCAUUCUUAUUCAGGUUGAUUCUGACAAGGUCCCGUCGGAAUUACAUACUGUUUUUCUUGGCUUUUCUAUUUCACAAUAUGGUUAUGGUUUUUUGAGUGUAGUUUUGGGCUUCGAUUUCUGAUACUGAGUUGUAUUCGGGUUCUUCAUUAAGGUCUCUGACUCAAGGUUCUUCGGUACACAGAUUCAUUUUCUCGAUUGACUGAUAUUUUGAAUAAAAUCAUCAUUGAGGUCCAUCUCUACUCUUUUCCUCUUUUUAUUUCAUUAUUGAUGAAAUAUGGUGCAUUGGAUGGAAUUUCGUGUUGUGUUUGAUCUUGAUUGGUGAUGAAUUUCUACAUGAUAUUGACUUGUUGCUUAAUUUCGUUGAAAAGUGAUUGUGGAUUGUUGAAAUAGUAAUCAUGAAUUGUGGAAAU
rnacentral:lncRNA from 1 species